rnacentral:rRNA from 1 species
CACGUAGGGGGCAAGCGUUGUCCGGAUUUAUUGGGCGUAAAGAGCUCGUAGGCGGCUCAGUAAGUCGGAUGUGAAAACUCAGGGCUCAACCCUGAGACGCCAUCCGAUACUGCUGUGGCUUGAAUCUGGUAGGGGAGCACGGAAUUCCUGGUGUAGCGGUGAAAUGCGCAGAUAUCAGGAGGAACACCGGCGGCGAAGGCGGUGCUCUGGGCCAGUAUUGACGCUGAGGAGCGAAAGCGUGGGUAGCAAACAGG